rnacentral:lncRNA from 1 species
CAUAAUGGCUGUUCACUGUUUAUCUCUAUCUAUAAUAUUAUUCAAGAUAAUAACCAAAAACAGCAAAAUUUCCUUAAAAUUACCAAUUCAGGGGCAGCAACCCUACAACGGGUUGUUCGAUUCAUCUGAAAUUUUCAAGGCAGAUAGAUCUUGACCUGAUAAACAAAUUUAACUCCAUGUCAGAUUUGCUCUUAAUGCUUUGGUUUUUGAGUUAUAAGCCAAAAACUGCAUUUUACCCCUAUUAUCUAUUUUUAGCCAUGGCGGCCAUCUUGGUUGGUUGACCGGGUCACCGGACACAAUUUUUAAACUAGAUACCCCAAUGAUGAUUGUGGCCAAGUUUGGUUUAAUUUGGCCCAGUAGUUUCAGAGGAGAAGAUUUUUGUAAAAG